rnacentral:rRNA from 1 species
UACAGAGGGGGCAAGCGUUGUUCGGAAUUACUGGGCGUAAAGGGCGCGUAGGCGGCCUGCUAAGUCGAACGUGAAAUCCCUGGGCUCAACCCAGGAACUGCGUCCGAUACUGGUUGGCUUGAAUCCGGGAGAGGGAUGCGGAAUUCCAGGUGUAGCGGUGAAAUGCGUAGAUAUCAGGAGGAACACCGAUGGCGAAGGCAGCUCGCUGGGACGGUACUGACGCUGAGGCGCGAAAGCGUGGGGAGCGAACAGG